GACAAAUUAGCUCAGUUGGUAGAGCAUGGGACUCUUGAUCUCAAGAUCAUGGGUUUGAGCCCUAUACUAGGCG